AAAUAUUAUCAAGACCAGAAUGGAGUGAUGAAGUAAUCAGCCUUUUAUGACUGAAGUCCUGAGUAGAUUUAUCCCUAUCUGGGUGUGCUGCAGGUUGUCUUUAAACUGUGCUGCAGGUUGUCUUUAAACUGUACUUUUCCCAAAGUAGAGUAUGUGGAAUAUCAAUCUCUGAAUGUUUUCUGGGAAAAUAAAAGACUACUGAGUAAGUAAGUUUGGGAAGGGCUUAACCAACCAAGCAAGCCAUAAGCCAUGCUGUGUGUGUGUGAAUGCACGUUCGUGUCGGUGGCAGGGUGGGAUGCCUGUUAAAAUCUAGCUGGAUAAAUAUACGAGGGAAAACUCAUCUUUAGACAUUUGUAGUCUGGUAGGAUACAAUACAGGUUCUGCUUGGGUUCACACCCUGCUUACUGGUUCAACAAGUUACUAGGUCUGUAACUUUGGGGAAUUACUUAACAUCUCUGUGCCUCAGUUUCUUCAUACAUGUUACGGGGAUAAUAAUAGUGUCAUUCCUACAUGGUUGUAUUUGUAUUAAACGAGUUAAUAUAGAUGAAAGGCUUACAACAAAGCCUAGCAUACAGAUAUUGCUUAACAUGUGUUUUCUAUUCUUACUAUAAUCUAUGUAUAUCUACAUAAAUCUAUAUAAAACUUAAGGGCCUUAAAAUGAAAAGUGCUCCAUUUGGUGCUCAAGAUAGUGAGUCCUCUGUCUUCUGAUUAAUCCAAAUGUUAUCAUGUAGAAAGUUCUAAUUUCAGGCGGCAUGGCAAGGCCAGCCUACUGACGGUCAAACCCUGCCCACACCCCGGGCAUUUAUUAUUGCUCAAAAUCUCAAUGUGUCAAAUUUGGGGCUUCAAUUCUCCAUAUUUGUUCAUUUUCCAGAACUGGGUUUGCUUAACUCUCAGUCCCUUUCUGGAGAACCCUAGAAUUGAAGGAUUCUAGUCCCUUCAUCUGUACCCAGGUCAGGUUCAUGUGAGGUGACACCAGAUGGCAGCAAAGAGAGAUGAGCUGCCAGAGGCGGGAGUUGUCAUUUGAAAAAAAAAUCGAAUUGUCAUUGUACUUGGCCACUGCUCUUACUAAAAAUAUUUCACUCAUUUAAUGUGCCGGCUUCAGCAGAGCUGAACUUUGUCCAUUUGGGGUGUGUGCUAUUGGGGCAGGUGUCUGUGAAAGAAUGAAAGCGAAUAAAAUUCUCUUCAAUUGUUAUCACUCUUCUUCAUUCUCAUCCCAAGUCUUGUCAAAAAUUGAGUGAAAUAGGAGUCAGACGUUACUGUUUCAGUGCCUCCUCCAAACUCCAGCCAUUUAAAAUACUCUCAGCCCACAUAUUAGUGAGAGGGAGCAAUUCUCUCUGUCUUCAGGGACUUGAGGAACACCUGAACUGGGAGAUAGGGAACAGAAAGUAAGGUUUUCCUAUCUAUUUCUUGCCAUAUAACAAACAUAGCAUAUUCCUAUCAAUCAUUAUACAUCUCUUUCUCAUUUUAUAAAAUCCUGAUUUUAUUCAGGAAGCCAUGUUCCCACCCUUGUAAAACAAAUCAUUAUUGGUAAAAACAAAUUAUAAUUGUCCCAUUUCUUUUUGUGAAAUAUUUACUUUUCUAGAUGCUUUUGCACUGAAAUUAUUUCAUAAAUCAAUGACUUAUGACAUUAUUUACAAGAAUAAUUUUCCAUAAUGAAAUAAAUGAGUGACAUCCCCAUAGAGCUAACCACCACCCUGCCCUUUCAUGUUUUCCCUGUUGUCUCUUCUCUUGACCUUGGAAAUUGUAACACCACCUUACAGUCACGAAGAGACACUUCACUAACAUGCUCAACAUGGUACAGCAGAAAGCCAGAGAGAUUUUGCAUAUCUCAUGAGAUUGUGGGGUUGUGGAAGCAGCUCUGAAUCUGCUGAUCUUGGGUCUCCUAAUGAUAUAACACUCGUCGGUAUUAACGAAGUCACAGUUAGUUGGAUUGUUCACUGUUUGCAGUAUUUGAAGUUGCCUUCCCAGUGAAAUACUACACAAGGUCUCACUUGUUAAAAUAGUUGAUUGCAUCCCAAUCAGUUGCAGGUUGAAGGGAGCAGGCUGAUUAACCCAUGGGAAUGAGUACCAGCUUUGUAUCCAAACACAGUUGAUUUCAAGCCCCAGGUCUGCUGCUUAUAAGCUAUGUACCUUUAGAUAAACUACCCAAUAUCUCUGCAUCUCAUUUUGUCAUGUUGAAAGUGGGGCUAGUGGUAGCUAAGAGGAUUAUUGGGAAGAUUAAAUGGCAUUGCAAAGAAAAUGUCUGGUACAUAGAAGAAACUCAGCAAACUUUAUCUCACCUUUUUCUCUACCUUACAUCUAAAUUUAGGUUCAUGAGGGGAUUGCAGUGGUAUCAUGGGAAAACUUUCUUUGUGAAAUGUUUUUAAUUAAACAGGAUGCAGAAUCUUUUGUCUUUAAACAGUUCUAGCACAAUGUGUUCUGAGUCAGGAGGGUAGACUGGAUGAAUACUUUCGAUGCUUUCAGUUUUUGGGUUAUUCGUAACUCCUGCUCACUGAGGAUGUUGACAGUUUCUUCUAGGUUGAUGGUACUGUUCUGUGUGAGUAGUCCACCAGAUAAUUUCCCUUAAAGAUCAUCUGGGAAUUCUAACAUCAAUGAACAUAGUUGUUCAUCUGCUGAAUAGCACAUACCCUGAUUCCUGCUCUGCCAGAACUGAGAGGCUUGUACAUGCUUAGCUUCUUCUGUCUCAGAGCUAAAUGAGUCAAAGGCAGUUUUCGUCUAGGAGGGGAGCUCUGACCUGCUGUCUUAGAGUGGGUUCACUAGAAACAGUCCUUGACAUGGAGAUUCAUGUACCAGUGAUUUAUUAAGAAAGAGCUCCCAAGAGAAACUGGUAAGGGAUGGGGGAGGAAAGACUGGGAAGGGUGCAAUUUCUGGCAAAGUACCAGCCCAGCCUAAUCCUGCAGGGUGCUCUGUGGCACAAAUUACACAUCAAAGUUUAUCCAGCCCGGAGGCAACAGAGCUGAGCUUUAUACUCCCACAAAGUCAGCCCUUGGCAGUGGACUGUGUGUGUGGUAGGUGGGUGAGGAGGAAACUCCCGGACGCUUUGAGCUUUCUGUGCUUACAACCCAGGAGGCUGGAGUGGUCUGCAGGCAGCAUUCUGAAGGAAGCUGCAGAUGCAACUCAGUAGAAGCAAAGCACACCAAAACUGAUGCCUAUGUGCACAGAACAGGAUUCAGCUCAGAUGUCCCACAGCCCCACUCUCAUCCUACUCUCAACUCUUUCCUGACUUCCUACAGUGGGUUUUAACGUCUCCUCAAAGUAGAAUGCAGAUGGAUUAUUGCUCAGUUUUGGCUAGGGAAGCUCCAAGUAGCCCCAGAAAGUCAAGGUGCCUGAUAAGUUACUGGAAGGCCACAGUGAACCUUCCAGUAGAAAGAGUUUCAAAUGAGCAUGAAUGCCUAAACUGCUGAUAUCCCUGUUGCGGCUCCAGAUCCUUCUGACUUAUCAACCCAGAGCCCUAGGUUGAGAACCACUGUCCUAGUCUGAAGGAACCUCUUGUGGAACAUUGGCAAGACCCUUACUGAGCAGAAGCCUAGCACCCUGAGCAUCCAGGAGAAGAAAAUAUUUGUGAUCUACGGGCUCAGUGAAGAAUUAUGGAGGACUUCAGGAUCUAGAAGGAAGCUUUGCAUGGAUUAGAUAAUUCAAUAAUAUUUAUCAAAUCAAAGUUGGGAGUCAAAAGAGAAUUUGGAAGCUUUGAUCAUCAGGAAAGAAGAUGGAGUUUAUUGACCCAAUGGAAGAGAAAAGCCACUUUUCUGUAAAGUGUAAGGCGUGGUAUCCAAGGCUACUCUCUGGAGACGACCAUAGGCUUCACCUGGGAGUUGUGAGAAAUGCAAACUCUCAACCCCAUCCCAGACCCUCUGAAUCAAAAGCUGCAUUUUAAAACAUGUCCUGUGCACAUUAAGCUUUAAGAGGCAUGGUUUUAGAGCACAGGCUUUGUAUCCCUGGAAUCAAAGUUCAAGUCUUUCACUUAUCAGCUAUACAAACUUAAGCAAGACAUGCGAAGUUUUUGAGACUCACUGUUUCUGUGAAACAGGCAUAUUCAUAUACACUACCUACUAGAGUUGUGAAGUUCAAAUGAACAAAAAAGAAUAUUGGACACAAGUCAUGGUGCCUGACUUUAUACAGUAAGAGUUUAAUUGUUUGAUGCUAUUAUUUUCUGAAAUUUCCAUCUCUUCAUUCAGGAAAAAAUGUUGGUUGGACAACGGACAAUCACCUCCUAUCAAAUCCAUAAUUUGAAGAUUGACUAAGUCACCUACUUUGCAUUCAGAUGUUGAUAAUUAUCAAGCCAGCCUAGGUUAAAACAAGUUUUUUACCUUUUACAAAUAUAUUUUUUUAAGAAUUGUGUAUCUUGGGGACAAAACAUUAUAAUAAGGUUAAUGAGAAAAGGAGCAACACAAAUCUGUUUUCAUUAAUCUUAACAGAGCUUUAAUCACAGCACAGGGGGAAACAGCUGCUCUGGAAGGGAGACUAGGAGCAGAUCAGUAGAAGCUGAUUAUCCAUUAAUGAGAGGGCUUUGGUGGGGAGCCCUGUGGAAAACCCACCAGACUCAAUCCUGCCAGCCAUUUGCUGAAGAGGUGGUGUAUAUGAAUCGCUUGUUUGAUGUAAAAAAUUCAAAACAGAUUCUUCUCAGCAGCCUGGGGACUGUCAUACAUCACUGAUCUCUUAUCUGUUUAUGUUAAGGAAAUAGCAUCCUUCAGUAAGUAAAUGUGUGUGGUAUUUAAUUAAACUCAUUGCUGAGCUCUGUGUGUGUGUGGCUAGUCCUCAUUUGGGGAUUAUCGGACUGUUGCAUUUUGCCUUUUUUCUCAUUUUUUCCUUCUUCUAGCAUUUCUUCCUCCAGCUCAGAAUUGCAGGAGCUUUAUGUUAUAUGGAGUAUCAUGGGAAGUACUUUAGCAUUUUUUUUAUUGCACACAUUAUUUAGAAAAGGAAACUGAGGCUCAGAGAGCUGAAGUCACUUGUCCAAUGUCCUCUAGCUUAAAGAAUUAUAUUAUUUAAACCUAGGUUCUGGGUGGUUUCAUAGCCUAAGCUUGUAACCACUUAUGCAAUAUGUGUAUAAAGUAAAAACUAACUAUGGUAUAUUGCGGUGGUUCUCAGAGUUAGUCCCCAGACCAGCAGCAUCAGCAUUGCCUGGGGACUUGUUAGAAAUACAAAUUGUUGGGCCCUGCCACAGAUCUAUCAGAAACUUAGGAAUGCAGCCUGGGAAGCCCUCUGAGUGAUUCAAAUGGAUGCUAAAGCUUGAGAGCCAUUGGUAUUUAGUUGGUAUGCUAGGUACUAAGAAUUUAGAAAGACAAAAAAAAAAUCGGUUCUUUGAUUUUGGGGAGUUCAGAGUCUAGUAGAGAAGACUAAAAUAUAAAGACAAUUAUAAUAAUAUUUUAUUAGUGUAUUAUAAGUGCAGUGAGAUAGUAUACACAAAAAAAUAGGAAAGUGCGGAUUAAGAUACUAACCUGGGUGGGAAGUGAAAGCUUAUUGGAAAAUGUGAUGCUUAAACUGAAUCUUAAAGCAUGAGAAGUCUCUGGCUGCAGUGACAGGAGAAAGUAUUUUAGGCAGGGGGACAGCAUAAACAGAAGAUGAAAUGAACAUGAAUACUGUCUAUGAAACAGCAGUCACUUUGGGGAUGCUGGAGUAGGAAGUAUAAUGAAGGAAGCAGUGAUGAGUUCAUGUGGCGGACAGUGAGCUGCCCUCUGUCACUCUGCAAUUUGACCCCCACCUGCUGAAGCUCAGGAGUUUGGCUUCUUGAAGCCCUGGCUUGGAUAUUUUACAGUCAUUUGUCAAUUUAUGGCAUUUACAACUGCCUUGUGGUUCCAGAUGAGGGGCACCACAUAUCACAAAGGCUUGUUCUUCAUGAUCUAUUGAGCACCCAGUAAUUCAUGCACGUUAUUUAUACCACUCACUCAUUUCUCCUUCUUUCUCAUGAAGUCGUCCAUGCCAUUAACAUUAGCUAGCAGACAUCAAGCUGCCUAGUGGAUAAAAUGUUGUUUGACAAGGGCUCAGUGGCUAGGGAUGUAACUCAUAGUUUUUAUCAUAAAUUUCAACUCAAUUAUUUGUUUUCCCAGGUAAUCUAUCAGUGAAUAAUAUACCCACAUCACAGGACUUUGGCCUGUGAAUUUGGUCUGUUUUCCAGACCAGUAUUUUAGCAUGGGCAUGGGUGACAUUUGAGCACUUAAAAUAAAAUAAUGCAGCUACAUUCUCUCUGGCAUGGUGGAAUGAACAUGGAAUUGGGAAUAAGAGAGACCAGGUUUCUAGCCCCAACUCUGUACUUUACAACUGUGUCCACUAAAUGACAUUGGAAGGCCUAUUUGUUAAUCCUGUGAAGCUUCAUUUUUUAAAAAUCUGCAUUGGCUCUCCAAAAUGUGCCUGGAAGUUGCUGCAAUUCUCAGAAUGUCUGAGAAGCUCCCCAACAGUCUUAGUCUGCAGCCAUGAGGCAAAUAAUUCUCAGCAAUUUUCUAGGAAGCUGCUUUGAUACUCACAUGUGCAUGUUCAUCUGGCAGCCACCACCUCCAGAGAAUAAAGCUUCCGAUUUACUUCCACUUUCCAGACUCCACAGAUGUUCCUCUCCUUGGCAAAAUGUAGCCCAGAUCUAAAUGGAAGGUGAUUCUGAGACAUGUAGUUGGCAACCUUAGCAGGACAUGGUGGUGCCACCCGGUUGAUAACAGACAUCUCAGCCCACUUUCCACUACACAGGAGCCAAAUGAUCUUCUUUAAAUCCCAAAACAGAGUAUUUCACAACCAGGCUUCAAAUGACUCAGUGGCUUCCCAUUUCUCUUAGAAUAAAACCCAAAUUCAUCCGGAUGGCCUGAAAAGCUUGUCCAGCCGAUCUCUUCAAUUUCAUCUAAUUCUAGCUUUCCCUUUCAUCAUUAUGUACAGCCAAACUGACUUUUAUUCCUUUUUUUUAACAUGCCAAACAUUUUACCACCUCAAAAUUCUUAUAGUUACUGUUCCUUCUGUUUAGAAUAUCUUCCACCUUGAUUUUUCUUAUCCUUUUAUCUCAACACUCUAAAGAGUCCUCCCCCAGUUUCUUUUUGUCGCCCCUUUUGUUUUCUUCAGUGGAUUUAUUGCAAUCUGCUCUUUUUGUGUGUUUAGUUAUUAUCUGUCACACUCACUGGAAUAUAAGCUCAGUGAAAGCUGGUACUAUAUUUAUCAAUUGCCCCCCUAGUUCUCUGUCUUGGCUUAGUUACCAAUUUUCCUCUUGGAACAUAGAUCAUCAUAGGCUGAAUUUGCUGCUUCAAAUAAUCAGAGGGCAUCAGUUUUUUUAGUGCUCAAGAUCCUAUAGUUAUUGUACCAGCCUUAAUGAAAGUACAAAGGAGAUAAGGGCAAGACGUGCUCUUUGCAAUGCUUAAACAGUUUUAGUAUAUCUCAAGCAAAGAAUCCUAAUAAAUCCAAAAUUCGACAGCUUUUUACUGUUGGUGUUCUACAACCUCUCUUUCCUCUCACUACCUGGAAUAGUCAGAAAUCUCAUGUUAAUUUAUGAACCCUGAUGUCAUCAUCAGGACUGGACUGUGGACUGAAAGAAGAUAAAUACCAAUAAUAAUUACCAAAUGUUGGAUAACUAUCAUAUGCCAACAAUAUGAUAAAUUAUUUAUGAACCUCACAAUAUUGCAUGGAAAAUAAUUAUCUCACUUUUCCAAAUUAUUUUUGUAAUUUUUCUAAUUUUUAAAAUAAUUUUCUAAUAAUUUUUAAAAAUUAUUUUUAUAAAAAUUAAGAACUUGACCAAAGUCACAGAGGUUAUUUGAGGUUAAACUAGGGUUUAAAUCUUGGUCAGUUUGGUUCUAACGCCCAAAUUUACUUCCCUGUUUCUGCCGUAUUCUAGGUCUCUUUUGAUUUUAUAAUACGUUGUGUUCGUGAUAGCAUUAUUUAUCUCACCCUGUAUUCACACUCUUUGUCGUUUUACUCUGGGUUAAGCUGUAAGACUGCUGUUUAGACUGGCUUUGGCCAAUAGAAUGAGGUAGGAGUUCUAGAUCUGAGCCUGGUCCUCACAUGAGUAUGCUCACCCUCUUAUUUGUCUGCCUAGACUAGUUCUUUGGUUUAGGAGAGAAUGAGAGACACAUCAAUGCAGAGCCAUCCUCAACUAGACCCAGCCAUGCUUCUCCAACCCCCCAAAAGGCUAUACUCAUGUGAGAGCUCAUCCAAGUACAGCAGUACAGCCCAGUUGAGCCCAAACAAGAUCAAUGAAGCCUCAGGAAACCAAACACAGUCAAUAAGCCCAACCAAGGUCAGCAGAACAGUCUAGCUGAGCCCAGCCUGGAUAAGCCAAUUCCUAGCUGACUCAUACGCUCAAAAAAAUGAUAAAUGAUUGCCAUUUUAACCAUGGUAUGCCGGGGUUGUUUCUUUCACAGUAAUAACAAAUUGAUACAGACACUAAUUAGCUCUGCAAAUGUGCUUAAAAAUAAUGCUUACAACCAUUUAAUAAGACUUUAUGUAUGAGACACAGUGCAGAACACUUUACAUUCAUUAUCCCUUUAGAUCUUAUUCAAAACCUCUCUGAGGGUUUCACAGAUGAGAAAAAUUAGAUGAAUAGAAAUGAAAUAACUUAGUCAAGUUUACACAGCUUGUUUAAGUGGCAGAGUUGGAAUUUAAACCUAAGUCUAUCUGGCUCUGAAGUUGUUCUUUUUUUGUUUUACCAGGUUGACUUUAUUCAUAAUCUAGACUUCACAUAGAAAAUAAUCAGCUGUGUGAAUAUGACUGAGUUCUCUGGGUCCAUUUUCUUCAACUACAAACUAGAGGGAACUAAAUAUCUUUUUUUCUUCUUACCUUCUUUGGUUCUAUGUUCCUACAUACAAAAGUUAUUUGAGGGCAGUUGGAGUUAAAGCAUGUAUGCAGUUUGAUGAUAAUGAUGAUGACGAUGACAAUGACAACAUAUAUCACAGAGAUGAAAGCAUGGACAUACUUUUUCCAAGAAAGAGAACUAAGACAAUUGUUGCAAGUGAGUGUAAAAAUUAACUCUGAAAACUUAUAUGUAAAACAGAGGAAUAAAUCUGGGCCACAAAAUCUUCCUUUCUAAUGCAAUAAACAACAACAACAACAGCAACAAAAAAGUGUCAGCCAAGAAUAUCAAAUUUAUCAAAUAAGCAAGAAACUAGAUAUAACGUGGGGCUUCAAAGAGCGGAUUUCAAGAUCUCAGCAGAGGCACAUGCCUUUGUGCACUCUUCUGCCCUCUCUCCUAUCUCUAUAUGCAACACAUAUACAAAGGACAUCUCUCUCUAUAUAUCUAUAUCUCAUACACAUAAACUAUCAUAUAUGUGCCAUUAUAUGUAUAUAUAUUCACAUACAUAUUCCAUAUAAAAUAUGGAUUCAAUAAUUAAGAGUUAAAAUAUGACUAAAUAAGAGAAUAAUAUGAAAAAGGAGAUAGAUGACAAAAUAAUACCAUUGUAGAACUAAUAUGUAAAUUAGGAACAACAAGAAACAGAUGAGACAUAUCAGGAAAUUGAAAUUAGUUACAAAAGAAAGCUUCGUGGUAUCAUAGGAAUUGUCAAUAAAGGGCUCUUAAAAAAUAAAAAGUUCUUAGAGACUUGACAAUACAUAGUGUGGUUACAUCGAACAGAACUGCAGCCACCCAGGCAUAAAGGGAAAUUUGCUUAUAAGGAGGAAAAUCAAAUUUACCUCAAUGUUCUCUGUAGCACCAAUUAUGCCAGAAGACAAUUGAGCCAAGUUUGCAUAAUUCUAAAAGAAAAUUAAACACAGUGUAAAAGUAUAUCAAAUACAAAGUCACAGGGAGAUAUUCUUGAACAAGAGCCCUUCUUAGCAAAAAUAAUUGAUGAAAUCCUGUAAACCAAAAAGGCAUUGUGAAGAGAACUAGCAAAGUAGUAAAGAAAUAUGUGUAAGCAGUUCAGAAAUACUUUUGCUGCCAGUGCAAUUCCUUUAUCUUUUGAUAAGUUAGAAAAAGUAUUUUAAAUAAUAUGAAAUAUAGUCCAUAACAGAAAUAUUUUAAGGCAUACAGAUUAUAAGAUAGUUAUAUAAUUUUUAUUCUCAUGGCUAUAUUAAGAUAGAUAUCUUGAAUACUAUGUAAUGUUAAUUAUUAAUAUUUAUAGAGGUGGUUUUAGAUGAUUUUAUUAACUUGUUAUUUGUUGCUAUUUCUUGAUUUUUGAAAAUAUGUACAUGUAAAUAUAUAGUUAAUUCAUCAUUAUUAUAUUUAAAGAGCAGAAGAAAAAAAUUAGAUCUUAAUGUGCACAUGUACCCUAAAACUUAAAGUAUAAUAAUAAAAAAAAAUUAGAUCUUAACUUACUAUAAGUAAGCUAUAAGUAAGAGAUGGUAGAGAUGGAGAAAUAGAAAAAGCAAUAAAGAAAACUUUCUGUUAGUGUGGCAUGGUAAAAGGAGCGUUCUCCUUCUAUGAGCAUCUGUUACCUAGUAGAUAUUAGGAAAAUCUGAUUUUCCUCCUUAUAAGCAACUUUCUCUUUAUACCUGGGUGCCUAGCAGGUCUGUUGCAGGUAACCACACUAUUGCCAAGUCUCGAAGAAUUUCUCUCUUAUUAUUGAUCAUCACUAUGAUAUCACAAAGCUUUCUUUUGUAACUAAUUUCAACUGGGUCUCUUGCUUUACUCUCUAUAACUUAGUUCCAUCAUCUACAUGGGUGGGGAUAUGUUGUUACCUCAGAGUUGGCUGUAGUAAUGAAAUGAAACAAUGUAUGUGAUAAGGUCAAAACAAUUUUAUGAAUAUGUUCACUUCUCUUCUCUCCUUCCCCUGACAAGCAGGAGUGUUCUGAUUUUCCAAGACAAAUCUUGGAUUAAAGGAUAGUUAAUGGAGAAUACAGUGAAGAGAAAAUGGAAAAUAGCAGGGAGUACAGACCGCCCUUGGUAGUGGAAUUGGUUACAUGUGUUUCAUUUGUUUAGGAAAAAAUGUGUCCAAAUUACUGUCUGCAGUUGUAACCUCCCAGUUCCCAUUCAUGUGGUUCUAGGGUGGGGCUGAAAUCUGGACUUGGGAGGUGGCACAUAUCUGCUUGUCCACGGUGAUUCAGAAAUAAACAAGUGGCAUAAGUCAGAUGGAACAGAGAGAUUCCAGGGUCUUUGAAGGGCCUGAGGAAGACGAUCUUUCUCUUCUGAAUCUGAAUCUAAGACACUGAAGCCUGGAACCACUCACCUCUGCAUCUUGCCAAUCAAAGAGAGAAGCCUCCUGAGAGUGGAACCAACACAAAGCCAAUAUCAGGAGGAAACAAUUCAACCCAUUGGAUCCAGCAGGGCUCAACUUUGUGUUACUGAGCUAAUUAAUCCCCUUUUAUUUGCAAGAGGAAGAGUUGGUUUAGCUAUUUGCAAUGCAAAGAGUCCUAAUUGAACAGAUGGGAUUGUUUCUCUUUGUCUUUACAUUUGUUUGUGUAUUUGUUUUUGUUUGCUUGUUUAGUACAGGUAUGGAAGUAACUACAGUGUGUGAGACCACAGAUGAGAUAAAAAGAAUAUUGAGAAAUAUUUCUGGACACUAUUGGUUUCCAGCGUGGAACCUGCCUGAUGAACUUCAAGAAAUAUAAGCAGAUGACUAACAUUAUUUUAAAAUUAGCUUUAGUGGUAUGAAUUUUACUUUUUUCUCCACUUUUUAGUACUCUAGGACUAAGAGCCAUUGUUUGUGAUUUUAUUGCUAAAACAUUGAAAACACCAUUUUAAGGGCUUUGCUCAUACCAUUCUCUUAUUUGGGAAAGUCAUAACUCUUUCCCUGCCUUCCCUGCUGCACAAGCUCCCUUUGUUCAGACUAUGCUCCUACCCAGGCUCCAGUACCACUCAGUUCCAGCAUUUCCCCAUCCAUUAAUGCCAACCUUUAGUUCACCAAAUGGGCUCCCCUGCAUGUCCGUGGCAACCACUUCUUACGUCUCUCAAUACAUUUGCCACUUGGUGAUACAAUAGUCUCCCACUAGGCUAUAAGCUCUUUGAAGACAGGAAUUCACCACAUCAUAUUUCUGUUUUUAGUACUUAUCACAGACCUGGCCUAUGGUAGGUGCAUGGGAAAUCUUCUUUUAACCUCCUUUCUCCCCUCAAAUUCACUCUCCCUAUUUACCUAUGCUAUCUUGUUUAUUGAUGGCAUCACCUCUUGCCCUGUGGUUCACACUCAGGUUUGGCUAAUGGGAAGCAGGAGAUAAAAGGGAGAGAAAGUGAGGUUGAGAUGUUUUUCUGUUGACUUUUUCUACCAACCCACCGUGGGUUGGUAGAAACUCUCUACUUGAGGCUAAUAAUGUGAUGUAUCUAUCGCCCACCAGGUUACUUAAGGGGUGUAUGUCUGCUGCCUAAACCCUAAAGGCUGGGUGCUGAACCAAGGCCCUGGUGCCCAGUGGAGGAGCAGGUAUCCCUGAGAACCCAAACAUUUGGAGAGUGUCUAAGAAUCUACCAAGAAAACUAGUCUCAUUGCUCAAACACAGUAGACAAAGAGCGAGAAAAGUAGCUUAAAAACAGUUUAGAGACAGAAGUAGUGCAGAUCUCUAGAGCUGUCCUGCUGUAGUCCAGGAGUACCCUGUAUGUAAGUUUUAAUAAACUCAUCUACUUGUCAAGCUGGACUUGUCUGAGUCAUUCUUAGGUCUCUCAGCACCUUCCCAGUUUGGGGGUGGGGGACAUUACAGUCCCAAGUCUUUCUUGUAACAAUUGGUGUCAUGAAUAGGAUCCAAGGAACCAAACGAUGAGUCAGGAAGGAGUGUGUGCAUGGGAAAUCCGGGGUGGUUUGCAACAUGCACCAAGGGUGGAGUUGCCUGACUGCUCAACCUCUGUGGGCCACCACGUGAGUACAAAGAUGCUCAGAAAACUUUGGCAGGGACUGAGCACAUACUGUAAGAAGCUAAGAUAUUAAAGUAUGGUAAGGACAGCAAAUAUGCUGUUGUUGCAAUAAAACUGGCUCUCAAAAAUUGUUACAGCAGGAAAGGGAGAAAGGGUAGAAACUCCUGCGAAAGUUCAAAGGCAUGCCAGGUUUUCUAGAACUCCAGCUGGUUAUAUAUUAUGGCCUAUUCUUGUGCAAAUUUAAAAACUGAUGGGGCCAGGCAAGGUGGCUCACUCCUGUAAUCCCAGCACUUUGGGAGGCCGAGGCAGGCGGAUCACUUGAGGUCAGGAGUUGAGAACAGCCUCACCAACAUGGUGAAACCCCAUCUCUACUAAGAAUACAAAAAUUAGCUGGGUGUGGUGGCACACGCCUAUAGUCCCAGCUACUAGGGGGGAGGCUGAGGCAUGAGAAAUGCUUGAACUCGGUAGGUGGAGGUUGCAGUGAGCUGAGAUUGCGCCACUGCACUCCAGCCUGGUGACAGAGCAAGACUCCAUUUCAAAAACAAACAAAUAAACAAACAAACAAAAACUGAUGGAAAAUUAUGACAAAGAAUUUCAGAGCUCAAAUGGUUAAUCUGCAGCUACAGCAUUAAGGAGAGUCUUUUAAAUGUCUCUAUUUCUCUUUCCUCUUCUACCUGCUUUGAAUCUGCUGUUACUAAGCUACCAAUGUUGAGAUAAAACUCACUAAUUGAAAGAUACUUGGAGAUUUUGUUUUUCUUAUAUUGUUCAACCAGUUGUAGCUAAAAUGUAAACAGUAAAAGCUCAUUUGAAACUGAAAAGGGGGUAAAAGAGGUUUUUUAAAAAUAAAACUGUUAUAGAAACUGUUUACCCAAAGUUUUGGUCCACAACCUUCCUUGGAUUGCCUAUUAGGGAAAAGUUUAGCCAUGUGAAUAGGUCCCAGUUUUGUCAAAUAUAAUUUGGAUCCAGCUGUCUGUUGUAAAAUAAUGAGAUUUGAUGCUGUCUCAUGGAUAAAGUUCUGAAGUAAAGCUAUUGGAUCUUUGUGUGUGCUUAUACAUGUUUAAAUGUGUUUAUAUACAUGUACAUGUACAUGUAGUGUUAUAUAUUGUGUCCAGCAUGCUACCAAAUUGGCUCAUAAGGAAAUGAGUACUUAUAAAUGAAAUAAGUCUGAAUGCUUUUUAGGUCCACAUGAAUUUAAUAAUUGUUAAUAAAUAAGCUAGCUUUGAAAUUAUUGGUAAGAUAAAAAGAAAAAUGUCUUCAAAAGUGUCAGACACAUUUUUGCCUGGGUUUACUCAUUAGAUAAGUUUUCUAUUUGCUUCUGCUAGAUAUUUUAAGGUGUCAGGGUUUGACAUAAAGUUGGUAAGACCCUAAACCCAGCCCUAGCCUGAAUGAUCUUUGUGUGAUUUUUUAAUAAGCAAGACUAAUUUGAUAUUGUUGGUUUAAUAAAAAUAGCUACAUUGUCUGAGUUAUUGGCAAAACACAUGUCCACGUGUUUAGCUUUAAGGUUCUUGCUUAGAUGAAUAUCUAAUAUUUACAGUCUAUAAAAAUAAUUAAUAAAA
rnacentral:lncRNA from 10 species